AGAGCGAACGCUGGCGGCAGGCUUAACACAUGCAAGUCGAGCGGGCGUAGCAAUACGUCAGCGGCAGACGGGUGAGUAACGCGUGGGAACGUACCUUUUGGUUCGGAACAACACAGGGAAACUUGUGCUAAUACCGGAUAAGCCCUUACGGGGAAAGAUUUAUCGCCGAAAGAUCGGCCCGCGUCUGAUUAGCUAGUUGAUGUGGUAACGGCGCACCAAGGCGACGAUCAGUAGCUGGUCUGAGAGGAUGAUCAGCCACAUUGGGACUGAGACACGGCCCAAACUCCUACGGGAGGCAGCAGUGGGAAUAUUGGACAAUGGGCGCAAGCCUGAUCCAGCCAUGCCGCGUGAGUGAUGAAGGCCCUAGGGUUGUAAAGCUCUUUUGUGCGGGAAGAUAAUGACGGUACCGCAAGAAUAAGCCCCGGCUAACUUCGUGCCAGCAGCCGC
rnacentral:rRNA from 1 species